ACAGAUAUCUUUAAGGAGACCGUUGAUGGAUUUUCAAAGUUUCAAAGGAUGUACUAUGAUUAUCUCAAUGAUCAUUUAAAAAAAAAGAAGGAUGUAGCAAAAGAUUUAGGUAUUAGAGAAUGGUGUAAAGUUCGAUGCAAACCCACCGAACAGUUAUUUAAAACAUUUAAAAUAAAAGAAUAUAAUGUUUUACCACAGAAAAUUGUCAAUAACUAGUUAUAUUGUAAUUGUAUUAAUCUAUUACCUUUUAUUGUAUUUUAAAAUAUAUAACAUUAAGAAAAAAAUUAGU